CAGGAUUACACGCAGGGCCCUUUCUCACCCCUUGCAACAAAAGUUGGCCGUAAAGAUCCGCUCCAAUGAUGAUAUCAAUUGGGUCCGAGCUCAUCGGUUCCUUGUCCGCGAAGUUCAAAUCUGCAAGGUAGGUGACUCACGGCUUCGCUCGCUUCGCCCGCUAGCGAGGAACACAAAAAAUGGAGACGCUCAACGUUCGUUAAGGAAGCAUUGUUUAUAACCAUGGAGGUGAAACGGUCACGGUAACUUUCUCACUCCGUGAACUUUUCAUCGAAGGACGGCAAUUGUAUCUUUGGUGUGACCUGGGCUAGCAUCUCCGCCAUGAAGUCCAUUGCUUCCUGAUACCGCUCCUCGGCCUGGAUAAAAUGAU